UACUUUACACACGUGUCUAUGACUGAAUUCGGCAGCUUGCUGCAAAAACAACCACUAAUAUUUUAACUUUACAAUCAACAACUACUAAUAGAUCAAAACUUUCAACAACGGAUCUCUUGGUUCUCGCAACGAUGAAGAACGCAGCGAAUUGCGAUAAGUAUUGUGAAUUGCAGAUUUUCGUGAAUCAUCGAAUCUUUGAACGCACAUUGCGCCCUGUGGUAUUCCGCAGGGCAUGCCUGUUUGAGCGUCAUUUCUCCUUCCAACCGCAGUUGGGUGUUGGGCCGGGACACGUCUAGUCCCGCCCGAAACGCAUGGUGGGCGCCGCGCCGCCGUCCCGCGACAAUGAGUUAGGUUCUGCCAGUUCGUUGGAGCGCGGAGGGGAAGGUGCGGGGGCCGACAGCAACACCAUUGAACUUCUUAAAUUGACCUCAAAUCAGGUAGGACUACCC
rnacentral:rRNA from 1 species